rnacentral:rRNA from 1 species
GGUGCAGCAGGCGCGAAAACUUUACACUGCGGGAAACCGCGAUAAGGGGACCCCGAGUGCCAGCACCUAGUGCUGGCUGUCCAGCUGUCUAAAUAACAGCUGUUAGCAAGGGCCGGGCAAGACCGGUGCCAGCCGCCGCGGUAACACCGGCGGCCCGAGUGGUAACCGUUUUUAUUGGGUUUAAAGGGUCCGUAGCCGGCUUAUUAAGUCUCUUGGGAAAUCUGGCGGCUCAAUCGUCAGGCGUCCAAGAGAUACUGGUAGGCUUGGGACCGGGAGAGGUGGGAGGUACUCCAGGGGUAGGGGUGAAAUCUCGUAAUCCUUGGGGGACCACCGAUGGCGAAGGCAUCCCACCAGAACGGGUCCGACGGUGAGGGACGAAAGCUGGGGGCACGAACCGGAUUAGAUACCCGGGUAGUCCCAGCUGUAAACGAUGCUCGCUAGGUGUCAGGUGCGGUGCGACCGCAUCUGGUGCCGCAGUGAAAACUUGAAGCGAGUCACCUGGGAAGUACGGUCGCAAGGCUGAAACUUAAAGGAAUUGGCGGGGGAGCAC